GUCGUAAUAUUUCUCGUCCUUCUCGGUUACUCUGUUAUUUCUCUCCGACCUCGGUGCACGGCAGAUACGCGAGAGCGCAGCAAUAGCUGGUUUCAAGAGACAGAAAAACAGGCGGACAGGAAGGGAGAGAGAGGACAAGGUGAACGAUACCCGACUCCGAGUCUAAGAUAGGAGGGACCGCCGCCGAACAGACGAGAUGUAAAAAGGGACAGAGCGAGAGAGAAAAGGGAUUGCAGGACGCGAAAUCGUGUCCAAGCAUUAACGCAUCUCCCUCUCUUCCCUCCUUGGAUCGUAGUCCUCCGUCGCGUCGCUGCUAUUCCUUCCUCUAUACCGCGCUACACCAGCGGCCUAGGGAUUUUAAUUUCGCCGGAUAAGUAUUUAUCUCGGAACGCGUAGGUUCCGUAAUGGACAAGGUGUAUUUUCGGUGCGAUGUAAAUCAACAGACUUACGGGGAUACGUGUACACCGCGUAUAUUCCCCAUAAAUCUAUUUAAAUAUAUGCUCGUACCCGGUGCUCGCGCGCUCUACACGCAUACAAUAUCAGCCCGGAUACACGUGGGGCCCUCUCGCUUUGACAUCAGGGGAAGCGUGUCUAAAUUGGGAGGCAAAGGUGGGGCAUACCCUGGUGAGAAGGCGUAGGAAGCCGUCAGAAGAAAGGCACAAGAAGAAGAAGAAGAAGAAGAAGACGGGGAAUCACCUUAUAGAUCCCAUACUUCUAAACGGUACCAUUUACGAGAGAAAGGAGAAAAUAAAAAGAUCGCGCGAAAGGAAGAAUUCAAAAGGGGAAUACAACUAUCUGUUGGAAGUCUUCGUUUGAAAAAAAAAAUAAAAAAAAAAGGCAGGAGAA